rnacentral:rRNA from 1 species
GGAUAACCGUAGUAAUUCUAGAGCUAAUACAUGUAUAAAGUCUUGUAGACUGCAUUUAUUAGAAUGAAAACCAUAGGUUUCGGCCUAUUCGUGAGUAAUAAUAACUAAUCAUAUCGUAUGCUUAAGUAACGAUGUGUCUUUCAAGUUUCUGCCCUAUCAGCUUUCGAUGGUAGUGUAUGGACUACCAUGGCAGUAACGGGUAACGAAAAUUGGUUCGAUUCGGAGAGGGAGCCUGAGAGAGGCUACCACUCCAAGGAAGGCAGCAGGCGCGAAUUACCCAUCCUGACCAGGGAGGUAUGACAUAAUCACAAUGCG